UCCAGGCAGAAACCUCAAGCCCUGUCUUCCCAUUCAGCACUGACAACAGAAGAUUAAGAAUAAUGGUUCUCCUGGAGUUGGUUUCCGUGAUUGCUCUUUUUCAAGUUGUGCAUUGUGAGGUGCAGCUUGUUGAGUCUGGUGGAGGGCUGGUGCAGCCUAAAGGGUCAUUGAAACUCUCAUGUGCAGCCUCUGGAUUUGACUUCAAUACUUAUGCCAUGAGCUGGGUCCGCCAGGCUCCAGGAAAGGGUCUGGAUUGGGUUGCUAGCAUAAGCAUUAAGACUCAUAAUUAUGCAACACUUUAUGCUGAUUCAGUGAAAGAGAGAUUCACCAUCUCCAGAGAUGAUUCACAAAGCAUGGUUUACUUGCAAAUGAACAACUUGAAAACUGAGGACACAGCCUUGUAUUACUGUACUGUAGCACAGUGA